rnacentral:rRNA from 1 species
UACGUAGGGUGCGAGCGUUAAUCGGAAUUACUGGGCGUAAAGCGCGCGUAGGCGGCUACUUAAGUCGGAUGUGAAAGCCCUUGGCUCAACUGAGGAAGUGCACCCGAAACUGAGUGGCUUGAGUACUAAAGAGGGUCGCGGAAUUCCCGGUGUAGAGGUGAAAUUCGUAGAUAUCAAGAGGAACACCUGAGGUGAAGACGGGUUGCUGGGCUGACACUGACGCUGAGGCGCGAAAGCUAGGGUAGCAAACGGG